rnacentral:rRNA from 1 species
CCCUUAGAUGUUCUGGGCCGCACGCGCGCUACACUGAUGAAAGCAACAAGUUUAUAACCUGCAUCGAAAGGUGUGGGUAAUCUUGCAAAUUUCAUCGUGAUGGGGAUAGAUUAUUGCAACUUUUAAUCUUCAACGAGGAAUUCCUAGUAAGCGUGAGUCAUCAGCUCGCGUUGAUUACGUCCCUGCCCUUUGUACACACCGCCCGUCGCUCCUACCGAUUGAAUGGUCCGGUGAAAUCUUCGGACCGCGAUGUUUACCUGGUUCUCUGGGCUAACGUUGUGGGAAGUUGCUUGAACCUUAUCAUUUAGAGGAAGGAGAAGUCGUAACA